UCCAAUAUGCGGGGAGGGGGGAUUAUUUAUGCACUGGAAAUCGAAUUGCUUACAUUGCAAAAAACGGAAGCUAGAAACACGGAGUAGCUUCAUUCUUUUGUGACACCUAAUCAAGAGGAAUGCUGAAGAUCUUCAAGAAAGUAAAAAUUAUCCUAUAGAAAGAAUACAGACCAACUGUCAGAGGCUGAAAUAGACAACUUGGCCAUAAUCUGCUCAAGACGAAGCAACAUGGAGGAUAUUUAAAGCCGUCCCACUGCGGCACAAGUAUAACCCUGAAUAUUUAUACACCACAGAUACUUUGUCUCAGCCAUCUCCUGCGACGUGAGAGAUGAAAUAUAAUCUAGACCACAGAACCAAGAGCACAGCAGUUACCUCAACAUUUUUGGCAGCCUUGGCACGAGAACGAUGGCUUGAGGAGAACACACAGGUCCUUCUUUGUAGAAAUACCUGGCAUUCCACAUGGCCUUGCAAAGAACAUUUUAUUUUGACUUUUUCUACAGCUGUUCUAUAAAAAAAAAAAAAAAAAGAAUGGAUAAAUGUUGAUAUGGUCACAACUACUAAUCAAGCAAGAUUUGAACGGUUAAUCAGUGACAGUAAGUUUGUUACACCUAGAUACUAUAAAUAAAUAAAUAAAAAUAUAUAUAUAUGACAAGAAUUGCCAUCUCACCCUUAAACCAUUGUUGAAUGAGACGUUAUGUCAAUCUCAGAUGUCCCUUUUACAACUGGAAGAUCUUCGUGGCUUUUGAGGUUUUUUGGGUGUUUUUGACGCUGACUUUUGUGCGGCAAAAGUCGUAGUUAUUGUGCAGUUUUCACAACUUUUUCCUGUCCGUGCUUUUUCAGUUCGGAUCUUUUGAUAAAUGACUGACAUUUGUGUUUAUUUGUGGUUUCUUAAAAAUAAAAUUGAGAAAAAGUCGAGUUUUCUUAAAUCCGAAAUUCGAGUUUUCUUAAAUGUAAUGAACCAAUGCGUUCCUCAAUCUGACGAAAUGUUUAAGGCCAGCCGAUCGACAUGUGGCCGACUUUC